rnacentral:rRNA from 1 species
UACGAAGGGGGCUAGCGUUGUUCGGAAUUACUGGGCGUAAAGCGCGCGUAGGCGGUUUUGCAAGCCAGAGGUGAAAUGCCUGAGCUCAACUUAGGAAUUGCCUUUGGGACUGCGAGGCUUUGAGGACGGGAGAGGUGAGUGGAAUUCCCAGUGUAGAGGUGAAAUUCGUAGAUAUUGGGAAGAACACCGGUGGCGAAGGCGGCUCACUGGCCCGGUACUGACGCUGAGGUGCGAAAAGCGUGGGGGAGCAAACAGG